GAUGAACGCUGGCGGCGUGCCUAAUACAUGCAAGUCGAACGCACAGCGAAAGGUGCUUGCACCUUUCAAGUGAGUGGCGAACGGGUGAGUAACACGUGGACAACCUGCCUCAAGGCUGGGGAUAACAUUUGGAAACAGAUGCUAAUACCGAAUAAAACUCAGUGUCGCAUGACACAAAGUUAAAAGGCGAUUUGGCGUCACCUAGAGAUGGAUCCGCGGUGCAUUAGUUAGUUGGUGGGGUAAAGGCCUACCAAGACAAUGACGCAUAGCCGAGUUGAGAGACUGCUCGGGCACAUUGGGACUGAGGCACGGCCCAAACUCCUACGGGAGGCGGAGGUAGGGAAUCUUCCACAAGGGGCGAAAGCCUGAUGGAGCAACGCCGCGUGUGUGAUGAAGGCUUUCGGGUCGUAAAGCACUGUUGUAUGGGAAGAACAGCUAGAAUAGGGAAUGAUUUUAGUUUGACGGUACCAUACCAGAAAGGGACGGCUAAAUACGUGCCAGCCGCCGCGGUAA
rnacentral:rRNA from 1 species